rnacentral:rRNA from 1 species
AGAGUUUGAUCCUGGCUCAGGAUGAACGCUAGCGAUAGGCUUAACACAUGCAAGUCGAGGGGCAGCAUGGUCUUAGCUUGCUAAGACUGAUGGCGACCGGCGCACGGGUGCGUAACGCGUAUGCAACUUGCCUCACAGAGGGGGAUAACCCGUCGAAAGACGGACUAAUACCGCGUACACUCCACUUUGGGCAUCCAAAGUAGAGGAAAUGAAAUUCGCUGUGAGAUAGGCAUGCGUCCCAUUAGCUAGUUGGUGAGGUAACGGCUCACCAAGGCGACGAUGGGUAGGGGAACUGAGAGGUUGAACCCCCACACUGGUACUGAGACACGGACCAGACUCCUACGGGAGGCAGCAGUGAGGAAUAUUGGUCAAUGGGCGAGAGCCUGAACCAGCCAAGUCGCGUGAAGGAUGACUGUCUUAUGGAUUGUAAACUUCUUUUAUACGGGAAUAACAAGAGUCACGUGUGGCUCCCUGCAUGUACCGUAUGAAUAAGCAUCGGCUAACUCCGUGCCAGCAGCCGCGGUAAUACGGAGGAUGCGAGCGUUAUCCGGAUUUAUUGGGUUUAAAGGGUGCGUAGGCGGCCUGUUAAGUCAGCGGUGAAAUCUAGGAGCUUAACUCCUAAAUUGCCAUUGAUACUGGCGGGCUUGAGUGUAGAUGAGGUAGGCGGAAUGCGUGGUGUAGCGGUGGAAUGCAUAGAUAUCACGCAGAACUCCGAUUGCGAAGGCAGCUUACUAAGGUACAACUGACGCUGAAGCACGAAAGCGUGGGUAUCAAACAGGAUUAGAUACCCUGGUAGUCCACGCUGUAAACGAUGAUAACUGGGCGUAUGCGAUAUACAGUAUGCUCCUAAGCGAAAGCGUUAAGUUAUCCACCUGGGGAGUACGCCGGCAACGGUGAAACUCAAAGGAAUUGACGGGGGCCCG